rnacentral:lncRNA from 1 species
UAUUUUUUCUUUUUUCUUUUUUUUUUUGGUUUCCUCAUAUCCUGGUCUUUCCUGUUAUUAAUGUGAUUAUACAUUCUCAACGAAUGGAGAUAGGAGUAAGACAAUAGGCUUAACAGAAGUGCAAUAGUUUGAAUGGCCAUCUGAGUCACUGUCUGGAAAGAGCAUGGCCACGUUAAUGCCAAAAAAUUUGUAAUGCAUGGCUCUGCUAGAGAACCUACUAUUAUCCUUAAAAACACAAAUGUAAACAUAGCAACACAGAUGCAAACUAAGAGAUUCAGUUAAGAUGGCACCUUUCAAUCAAUUAGGAUAGAAUGUUUUAGUGUAUACUACUGAAACAAGAAAGAUGUUGUUGACAUAAUCGUUAUUGCAUUUAAUGUUCCAUUAUUUGCAUGCAAGCUUAUGAAGGAUGGAAGCCCAUGUUUUUCCAGCAACUCAUAUUCAAGGCAUCCAUGCAUCCACCCACACUGUAUUUUCCAACUAUUUCAUCUCCUUUACUUAAAUCAUAGCCAAAAAAAAGUUUUCCGAACUGUGAUAACUUCCAGCAGAUAUGGUCAUCUACUGUCUAUCACCAAUUCAGUAUGUUUAAUUUUCAUGUCACACCUUUUCUGUUACAUGAGAUAGGUGCAUUUAGGCUCUUAAUCUGGAAUACUAGAUCAUGUCUCAUAAUUAUGGCAUUGCGGUUGACAUGUUUUACGCAUAUAUUUGUGGGACAAUGACAUGAGAGUUGGACCUUUCUUGACUGCAAAAACAUUUGAGCAUUGGCUGUUGUCUAAGAGCUCCUGAUAGUAACAGUAUCGCAGAUCCAAAUGGAGAUAUAAUGACUUCAAGAGUGUCUGACUUUUAUUUAUUUUCUUUUCUGUAAAUGAGUUUAGAAUGAGCUUUAGUGUGUUUGGGACUAUAUGCUUCCUUGUCUAACUUAAAUUUGUCGGGUUUUGGCAAUCAAUAAUGAUACAAAUUGUAAUCACCUUCUUAAGAACAUUUCCAUAUACUUUGUUUGUCUGGGCUUAUCAAUUUAUUACUGUAAUCUAAUCUGUAUGUCAACUUCUAGUUCUCUACCAUGCUUUCCUUGUGAUUUAAUACCAUUAAAUCUCGUACUUCUGUAUUGCUGGAAUAAAUAUGUUUGGUGGAAUUCAUUUCCACUAAGUUGGGAUUUAGGUAAGUUGAGGACUGAUUUUUUUAAUUUGAAUGUGGAGAUUAUGAAUAAAGUUUCUUUUUACGGAGAAAUAUCCUUUUCUUUUGAUGCUGAGUUCUUUUAGUGUUCCUAGGUGUAGAAUAAGUCUUGAAUUGAUAUCAAAUUAAUUUUACGAUUCUUAUUGGACUUGAGUGUUGAAGGUCAUGAUCACGUUAUGUGUCUGGCAAUAAUUACACGUACAUCCCGGCUCCUGAGUUGGCUUAUUGUAUCAUGGAUUUGAUUAGAACCUAAUAUACAGGAUUCAUAAUAGUUUCGUAGCAUUUAUGCCACAUAAGUAUUUUCCAAUGAGAAAGAAUUAGUGCUACUUGUCAUGUAAAGGAAGACAACAGUGCCAUCUGAUAAGGAAAUCAGUAAAGAAUGUAUGUUUAAGUAUCUAUUAAGACUGAAACCCUGCCUUUAGGCGGUUUUCUGAUUUGGUAGGAGAAAUCAUUUAAGUUUCUCAACCUCUCUGAAUUUGAUGAAGUUGCGCAAAUUUGAAUUAAGUAGUUCAUUACUUGGGGAAUUAUCAAGAUUGACAGGUUAGAUCAUAGUUAGGACGAGUUCCUUUCAGUAAAUGAAAUCAAUUUAUUACUGGAUUCAUACAAUGCACCCACCUGUGUAAGGGGUUUUUUUACACAAGGAACUCACUACAUAAGCAUACUGAGAUUUGACAAGAUAGUAUGGUACACUUGCUUAAAUCUAGACCAGCUCAUAUAAAGAAAUAUUUAGAUUGAUGAGCUUUUUAGUUAUCCUCCAAGUUUCCACACCGUCUUACACCUAGGAGAUGAUCACUUUUAGUCUGAGUAAUUCUAACCCAUAUAUGUGUUAUCAUUUAAAAAAAAAUUGUCUACUUGCACUACUAACAUUCAAAAUCAUAUGUAUUAGUGCUUAUGGAUGAUCAAAGGGAGAAUGAAGCUGUAGAAGAGCUUACCAGAGCCAUAGCCUUCAAACCGGACCUACAGAUGCUCAAUCUACGAGCAGCUUUCCACGAGUCAAUGGGUGACUUCAGUUCUGCUCUCCGAGAUUGUCAGGCAGCCCUCUGUUUGGAUCAAAAUCACAAGGACACCCUUGAUCUGUAUAAUCGAACACAAACACAAGCUAUUGAUCCACGUACUUAGCAUGUUCAAGUCAAAGUGAUUCUUUGUGGAA